GACAUCAACCUUGAGUUGUGGUCAAAACCAUCAUGAACUCUUAGAAACCCACUAGCCCAUAACCGAGCCAUCAUAACUGAAUCCCUCUAUAUCAACCUAAAAUUAUUGCCACAAAAUACCUGUAAAGCCCUAUCAUACCAAAGGAACUAAUCAUUUCUACUACUACGUUUAAACCACUGCUAAGCUGAUCCUAACUUCUUCAGAUUCCUCUUGUCUUGCCUUCAAGACAACACUUCUCUUUCCUAUUACUCUAUGGACCACAAUCAAAACUCAUCCCAAGUGACUCAAAUAUGAAACCACAUUGUCUUAAGACUCGUAAACCACUUUGUUCCCUCUCAUGCACCCAACAGUUUCUUAAACCAAAAUGCUCGCUCUAAAGAGACUUUAUGUGAUUCCGUAGUUAUUUAUUCCAUCUCUCAAAUACUACAAUGUUCAAUCAAUGAUGAUAUAUAAAUACUGCAAGUCUCGGCACCAUCUUAUGCAAUUAUGAGAUCUUAGCUAUAUACAAAUUCGGGAAUCCUUAAAUAACAUAUAUGAAUCUUGAACCCAUUAGAACCUUCUAGAGAGUCAUCCACUCUGCUCUAAUCUCCACUGCACAACCAAUACAUGCCUAACGACUUGUACUCCAUUGGAAAAGCAACCCCAUCUUUAAGCAACCGAUUGAAUAACUUCUCCAUGCACACUACAUCCACAGCGAGUAUCAAAUAUAAGUCAUUCCACAACCUUCAUAUACCAAUAAAGCAUAUUACAUUAUGAAUCUAGCAAAUUCCUUGCUUUCAUCAUUGUCGAAGUCAUCAUCUUCAAGUCAUAACCGAUCCACAAGCAUCCCAUAAUCCAGGAACUAAUAUAACCAUGACCAUGCAAUCCGAUCGUCGAUAGUAGACUCCCCCACGUGGCUUGGAGCCACAAACACAUCAUCUGAUAAUCCACAAUACCCUUCCUUCUUAACUUGCCAUGACCUCGUGUUGUUAUCCAGUUGAAUCUCCUUAUAAGCUCACAUAUCACUAGUUAAAAUACACUCUGAUCAUCUGCCGAGUGCAUACUCAUCCUCAUGACAGUCAAGCCAACUUCCUCGAGUGCUCUUAAUUGGUAGUUUAUGCAUUUCACUGAAUAGAAGCCUCAUACAAAUCACAUAACCUCAAAUCCUCUCACAAAAGAUAACCCACCUGCUAGCCUCAAAUCGACGUCCUUCUAUGACCCUACCAUGGCCACAACCAUUAUGCAAUCAAUUAAUCUUCCUGAGUCUACGCUCAUCAAAAGGAUAUAUGAAUCAACUUUAUUUCAAAUAUGAGCAACUGAAAGAUCCACCAAUACAUCCAUAUUUCAAACUGUACAACACAUUGAGACGAUGAUCAAGCAUCCAUCGUCCGUCACAUCCAAUCUGCAACAUCACAAGCCAUCGGUGCAUAACUAAUACCGAGUACUCAACAUCCCACUUGAAUCGAAGAGGAAAAAAUAAGAGAUUUAGUCUUCAAGCUGAAACAAAGUCGCAUGAUGAGGAAAGAAAGGAGGAAAGUUUCUUAUAUGAUAUAUAGCCUCUUGAAUAUAGGCAUGGACAUCAUCAUACCAAUCUGCAAGACUUAACUAGAUACUUGCUCAUGACUCGUAGAACCUAUGAAGCUAGGGCUCUGAUACCAACUUGUCACAACCCAAAAUCUCACUAAGUCAUUAUGGCACCCAACCCAACCUACUAUAUAAGCCAAACAAUAGUUAAUACAAUUCUAAUGAAAAAUCAUAAUUAAUAAUUAAAUAAGGUGACUAAAAUUCAUAUAAUAUCUCAAGGAUUGGUAGCACAAGUCACGAGCCACUAAGAUUUAGAUUUACAAGCUGGUACGAAGAAUAAAUACAACAUAUGGUUGAAGUUUACAUAAACAAAAUUUUAAGUCCUAAACUACCAUGAAUAAGAGGUACCUUGAAUUGGAACGCUACUAUGUAUUCAAUUCUAGUCUUUGUCUUCCACAUCUACUCAGCUCCAGAAUCUGCACCCAAGUGUUGAAGUAUAUAUUGAGCACAACCGAUCUCAUGUACUUAGUAAGUAUCUUGACUAUUCUCAAUGAUGUAGUGACGGGGAUUUUAAGUCAAAAGACACUCACUUUGUAUAACUUGUGCAGGGCAAUAACAUGUAUAAUACAGAGAAGUAUCCAAAUAGAUAGUCAUAGAAUAACAGAUUUCAAUUAUAAAGGUGCACAACUAGGGUACAGGUAAUAAAAAAGCUUUGCCUAUUAAAUUGAUCAAGAAAAUACUACUUGCACCAACUCCACACAUAAAGAGACAUGCACCAAGUAGUGCAUGCUCAAAUACUCAUACAUGAAUGUAAAGUGUCUGUACAUAAAAAUGAUCCAAUUUCGUAUCAAUUUCCAAAUUCCAUGUUUAUGAGUCUAUAUUAAAAUGUAUGAUGAUAACUCUCUUUUACAUCAAUCUGACACUCCUCAAGUGUCCAAAAACUCACAGCUUCCAGCGAGCUAGGUGCAUAAGCUUUUUUUACUACAAAAACGAUUCCUCCCCCGGCAAAAAGUGGUCCGCCAACUGAACUUGCCUUGUUGUGAUAGGGGUACCGCCUUUUCAUUCCCACCAAGGAUCCGUAACUUUACUUAGAUAGGGCUUGACUGCCUUAUCUUCUAUUAUAUUAGUAAAGGGCCUUUAGGCUUGACUUUACUAAUAUAAUAUCAAGUAAAGGGGCAUGUAUCCUUUUUUUUGUAAAGAAAGAGGGCUACUUCACGAGCCGCUACUAAUAAUCGAAAAGGUUCACAGUGAGUUCAGUCUAUAGUGACAAAGGGAAUGUUUCAGCCGGAGGGGUUUGUCUCCAUGGAAAAAGUAUUCACUACUGCUUACAGCGCCUUCAUUCACUCGUCUUGCUGCUUCGGAACUGUUCGGCGGACACGUGGAGUCGAACGUCUCUCUACAAUGUUGCGUAGGUAGACUGAUUAUUGUAGGUGACUGUCUCUAGUGGUUUAGAAAGAGUUCUGUUUCUACCAACUUCUUUUUUUGUAGUCUAGUAGAUCUACAUGCUCUAGUGGAUCUAAAGUAGAUUUAUGUUCAGCAACAAAAAGAGGUGAGGUUCUGCUUUCUUACUUGAGAAUAUUACAAGGGGGAAGCCUCGAAAGGCAUACGAGUGCACCUCUCGUAGACGAAUACCGACUCAGUCCGCUCCUACUGUGCGGGAGUCUCAGCCGGUCGGUGCCGGGUCGGCCCCUAGGGCACUAUUCGCCUUGGGAGUGGUUCAGCCAUCAAGCUACUUUGUAGGGUAGGGGACCAGACUGGUGACUGCUGCGGUUGUUGUCUGCAGGGUAUGUGACACCCCACAAGUUGAGUAGUGCUGAGCCAGGAGAUUUUCCUUUGGAUUGUUACAACGCUCGUUGAACGGUUCAAGUAAGAGUGAAUAGGUAAGAAGUAGAAAGACCCAUAUCAAUCCAUCUCUAUAGGAGACAAUAUGAGCAAAAGACAGGAAUCCCUAAAUCCCCCAUAAAAGAACUCACUCCGGAGGGAGUGAGAGGGGUAUUCAAAAAGGGGAGUCGCGGGUUCUUUCUUUCCUUGUAGGAAAGGUCUUGGUAUGGUAUGGCAUUAGAGAAAACUUGUUAUGGUUAUGCGGCUAUAUAGAAAAGGCGGGUGGGGCUUCAGGCGGCUUUUUUAUGAAUAAUUUCAAUCAAAAUUCCAUCGAUUGUAGCUAGUGAUUGCCCGGGUCAGUGUGUGAUCAGCAAAGGUGAAGUAACCCUUGAGAUGCUCUCUCCGCCCAUGCCGAAUACCCUCGGCCGGUUCUGUCGGGUAAGGCCAGGAGCUGGUUUGGGGAAUCACGGGGCCUUAUUUAUUCAAGGGGGACUUGAUUCUGAAAUAGAAUGAUUGAUAGAAUCGAUAUUUCAUAGAAGAAUGAUCGAGACCAUAAAAUCCUUUCACACCCGCACAUGUGGCUGAAUAUAUAAGGAAGUUCACACACCCUGGAAAAAUCCAUCCUGUAUCCCUUACUUGCCAGCUUGAUCGCUUGUCUUAUUUACCAUUUUUUUAGCGGGUGGUUUAUGUCUGGUCCUUUCGGGUCGCCUGACCUGGGCUGAUGGCGCUUCGUUACGGCUUGUCUGGAGUCCAGCGGCUCUCUAAGGCUUCAAUGUACUAGUACCUGCCACCAAAACAUCGUGAAGGAUUCAGUGAACGUCUUGAAACUUAGUAACACAAGACAAUUCACUGAAUGGCUGUUGGCUCUACCGGAGGAGUCUAAAAUCAACAACGUGUAACUACUUGGGAAUUGAGUGUUUCGCUGCUUGAGGAAGUAUGUGAGAGGAUCGAAGUUGAGCAGAAGUGGGGUUAAAGCAGCCAACAACGCAUCCCCCUUUACUUAGUAGGGCUUGAAAGGCUGGACAGUUUGUUUUCCUUUCCUGUCCAGUAUUUUCAAUCCAAGUCGAAAUAGGAAAAGCCGCAAGCACCACUAGGCCCGGUCGUCGGUUGAAUGUCAGUAGGGUCCGAUAUUCAUUCCUUACUCAAAUAGGAAGGUGGCAGUCUCAAUCUAGCGGCGUGGUCCAGAACAAGCCUUUGCUAANNNNNNNNNNNNNNNNNNNNNNNNNUCCAUGGGGUUUUUAUUUUGGUUACAAGAAGUGCUUCUUUGCUCGCUUACAGCGCCUCGACUCGAGUUUCCACUGUAGGAUUGAGUGAGGUGACGAGAGCUGAAGCCAAGGUUCCUUGCUACGCUCCAUAGAUGUUCAUACGAUUCUUAUGGAUUUUGGGUGUGUUUGAAUUCAGCCUCUCGUUAGGCCUUCACUGAAGGAUUGUCCACCUUUUCAAGCCUCCCUACCAUACCCUUAGAAAGUGAUAACGGAUGACUUCCAUUACUAAAUGGAAGAACUUUUCAAACUAGUUGAUAGUUGUUCCCUGGUUGCACCCCACAAUGGGUUCUAAUUUACUAAAUCACAUGUUUCUGUUUUCGGAACAUCAUAUGUAGAGUUUUUGGGGGAGAAUCACUCGGCGUAGGGCCUCCCGUGUGAGGUCAGGUGAUGGUCAACAACUCAGGCAGGAAAUGCUGAAAAACGGCUAACGAUGCAAGAGCUCUUUGGUAAGUCGGGUUUUGGGACCCUAUGUUGAGUAAGAGUUCCAAACCUUCCAAAAGUGAUAGGUAUGUGUUGUUUCUUGGCACUCUCUUUCUAUAUUAUGCCAACCUAAAAAGAGCGAUGGAAAGUGGAUUUCAGGUUCGAUAGUCUCGAGAAGGUAUUAGCCACCGGUGACCAUACUUUCGUAAAAGCACCAUUGGGCGGUGGUUCCUCUCCUUCCUCUUGAACCUCGAAUAAAAAUCGAUCUCGCCAUCAGCUCGACUAAGAGUUCCGAAUCGAAAAAGUAAAUUGAACUUGACUUAAGAUGAAGGAAGCGAGUGCCGAAAAAAAACCACUUUCUUAAGGCUUCAAACUACUAGUCAUUUAGACUACUAUGAAUGAUAAGUAAGGAAGUCCUUUUCUUGACUUGGCCUGCGUGCAUUAUACCUAACCUUUUAACUUGAUUUCAAUCUUAACAAAGAAAUGAAAGCAUAACUCUUUGCUCGCUUGCAGCGCCUCUGAGUCUUUUAUUUUAGCCUGCCUUGUGAAGAUCACUCUGGUGUCUACGGCAGAUCCGAUCAGUCUCGUGAUGAAGAGAAGUCUUUUCCGAUGUUGAAAGGUAUCAUCACGACAACUCAAUUUGUCCGGUAAACUACUCGGGGCUCCCCAUGGUUUAGUAAAAGGGAGGGGAUAUUUUUUAUUCAUCCGGGGGUUCAUUCAUUAUAAACUAAAAAGUGGUUGGCUGAUUAGUAAGGUCUUAAAAAUGUCAUAGAAUUCAUGAUCGGCCAUUCCAAUUUUUCUUUCAGCAAGUAGGCGACGCGAAUCUAUGCUUUCUAUCUUUCAAUCGGAUACUAAUUGCUUGGAUGCGUUUGAAAGCCUCGAGAUGACUUGCAGAAUAAAUUCUUUCUAGGUUUGUCUUGUGUCUCCGAAACAAACGGUCCAUUUAUUGAUGGGCGAACGACGGGGAUUGAACCCACGCGUGGUGGAUUCACAAUCCACUGCCUUGAUCCACUUGGCUACAUCGGCCCCUACCCCCGCACAGGUUGAAGUCUUUAUCUACAAUCAGAUCCUUUCUGAACUCCCCUAUGACCGCUUAUCAAAGAGAAGCUUUUUCCUAUACUAUAGUGGCAAGUCUAUUGUUGUGUUUCGGAAUUAGGGGAAUCAAAGCUUCAACAAGUAGAAGCUUCCUGGAAAAGCUUCAAACAAAGAGGUUGGGCUGUUUACUUCAUUGAUUUGACUUCACUUUACUUAAGAUUAAAGAUAGGGGCCGGGCGGGCAGUGAAGGCUCAUUUAGUAGACAGCGAGCGAGCUACAAGCACCUACUCCUAUCAAAAUGAAAAGCAGCAAGCGGAACUUGAACUUGAAGAAGCGAGCCUCUAUCAGAGAAAGCCAUUGCGCGCUAGCCCCUUGUCUUGUAUAGGGUGGAAAACCUGCGCACCCCUAAACUACAAGCUUUCUUUGAAGCCCCUACAACAUGAGAUAUUUGAAGAAUCCCCUUUCUACAAACCUUUAUAUAAUAUAAGAGAAGCUCUUCGAGCUUUCUUCGUAUGCUUGAGCGCAUCCCCUUUCUAUUAGUAAGGUUGUCAAAUUUCCUUUAGUUCCUUUAUGACUAUAAUAUAAAUAAUGGGGGUAGGGGGGCGCUAACGAGCAAGAAAAUGGAUGCGCUAAGGCACAACUUCGCGCAGCUGCUACGCCAUUGCUUCUUGCCUUAUCUUUUACUAAGAAACUAAUCUAAAUAGAAGCCCUUCUUUCUCAAAGUCAACUUUCUCCCUUCUUGCUUUAGUGAAAUAAGGGGCGCUAACGCGACCUUCCUUCAGCUGGCUUUGCCCUAUCUAUUCAUCUAUUUUCUCAAAUGGAUAUUUAGGGAUCUCUCUUAUUCAUAGAUCUUGAAACCAGAUCAAUAUCCAUUUCUCAAUAGAUCUAUUUAUCGAUAGAAAGAUAUAGANNNNNNNNNNNNNNNNNNNNNNNNNNNNNNNNNNNNNNNNNNNNNNNNNNNNNNNNNNNNNNNNNNNNNNNNNNNNNNNNNNNNNNNNNNNNNNNNNNNNNNNNNNNNNNNNNNNNNNNNNNNNNNNNNNNNNNNNNNNNNNNNNNNNNNNNNNNNNNNNNNNNNNNNNNNNNNNNNNNNNNNNNNNNNNNNNNNNNNNNNNNNNNNNNNNNNNNNNNNNNNNNNNNNNNNNNNNNNNNNNNNNNNNNNNNNNNNNNNNNNNNNNNNNNNNNNNNNNNNNNNNNNNNNNNNNNNNNNNNNNNNNNNNNNNNNNNNNNNNNNNNNNNNNNNNNNNNNNNNNNNNNNNNNNNNNNNNNNNNNNNNNNNNNNNNNNNNNNNNNNNNNNNNNNNNNNNNNNNNNNNNNNNNNNNNNNNNNNNNNNNNNNNNNNNNNNNNNNNNNNNNNNNNNNNNNNNNNNNNNNNNNNNNNNNNNNNNNNNNNNNNNNNNNNNNNNNNNNNNNNNNNNNNNNNNNNNNNNNNNNNNNNNNNNNNNNNNNNNNNNNNNNNNNNNNNNNNNNNNNNNNNNNNNNNNNNNNNNNNNNNNNNNNNNNNNNNNNNNNNNNNNNNNNNNNNNNNNNNNNNNNNNNNNNNNNNNNNNNNNNNNNNNNNNNNNNNNNNNNNNNNNNNNNNNNNNNNNNNNNNNNNNNNNNNNNNNNNNNNNNNNNNNNNNNNNNNNNNNNNNNNNNNNNNNNNNNNNNNNNNNNNNNNNNNNNNNNNNNNNNNNNNNNNNNNNNNNNNNNNNNNNNNNNNNNNNNNNNNNNNNNNNNNNNNNNNNNNNNNNNNNNNNNNNNNNNNNNNNNNNNNNNNNNNNNNNNNNNNNNNNNNNNNNNNNNNNNNNNNNNNNNNNNNNNNNNNNNNNNNNNNNNNNNNNNNNNNNNNNNNNNNNNNNNNNNNNNNNNNNNNNNNNNNNNNNNNNNNNNNNNNNNNNNNNNNNNNNNNNNNNNNNNNNNNNNNNNNNNNNNNNNNNNNNNNNNNNNNNNNNNNNNNNNNNNNNNNNNNNNNNNNNNNNNNNNNNNNNNNNNNNNNNNNNNNNNNNNNNNNNNNNNNNNNNNNNNNNNNNNNNNNNNNNNNNNNNNNNNNNNNNNNNNNNNNNNNNNNNNNNNNNNNNNNNNNNNNNNNNNNNNNNNNNNNNNNNNNNNNNNNNNNNNNNNNNNNNNNNNNNNNNNNNNNNNNNNNNNNNNNNNNNNNNNNNNNNNNNNNNNNNNNNNNNNNNUCUCUAUAUGGAUCUAUCUCCAUAUCUAAAUAUGGAAGAACUGACACAACAAGGGCGUAACCAAUGGAAGGUUCUCACCAUGUCCCCGACAUUGUUCUCCGACGAUGUCCCCUGGGCGAAAGGAUCCACCAUUCUCUUUCUUUCUUCAAUCAUUCCGAUUAGGACAAGUGGUUCGUUUCAUCCUCCUAUCUACGCAAUUCUCUUUCUUCGUUCGUGAUCAUGUUGGGCGAAAGGUAGUUGUAGAGGAGCGGCUGUGAAAUAGAGAUUCCCCCCUUUCCAUUGAAGUAGGGAGGGCCUCCUUUCCCACCAUUCUGGCCUAUUAUUGAUAGGGAUUUUACCGAUGCUGAAGAUAGCUUGCUUACCAAGCCGCCCACUUGAGAAGCUAGUCGCCAGGAAAGAAGCGAGGAGGAAGAGAAACUUUGCUUCUCCCCCUGUAGUCGUAAUACUCGGCUUGUCGCUACUUUGAUUCAAAAGGUAAUCGACGGUUCCCGACUUUCUCCGCUUUCUGCAACCGUAACCACUUGUCAUUCCGAUUACUUCAUCCAUUAACCUUUGUUUUAUUUCAAAAUAACGAUACUCUCUAAAAAGGUAAAGGAGAAGCUUCCAUUCUAGAAGCUACCACUUCCCACCUCCCUCGGGGUGAGAAGUUCCCUUCCCUUUUCUAAAAUGCCUGAGUGGUCUGCUCAGCAAACGUACUAAGUGGACCGCAGUUUGGCUGACCCUCUUCUUCCCAUUCGGGUUGGGUUGACCCAGAAGUACAGUAAGAAGGAAUAAUCGACUCAGGUAUGUUAAGGCUAUCCCUUAUUUCUUUUGGAAUGAUCCAAGUAAUGAUACGUAAACGUAAUGCUAUUUCAUAAGUGUUUCUACUCUUAACAGUUAAGGAUGUCUAUGCUAUUCAUUCCUGUAAAAUGAUAUUCAAGCAUGUCUAAGUAUGUUUCUAGUUCCCUAUUGAGGCAUAUGAUAAAGAUGUUAAACUUUAUAAUAUAGUAAAACAUGCAUCUUCAUUUACCACCGAGCUACGGCCGGUUGGGCAGUUACAUAUUUACCACCGAGCUACGGCCGGUAGGGCAGUCAUGCAUUUACCACCGAGCUACGGACGGUUGGGCAGUUACAUAUUUACCAUCGAGCUACGGCUGGUCGGGCAGUCAUGCAUUUACCACCACGCUACGGCCGGUCGGGCAGUUACCACUGAUCAGUUGGGCAGUUAACGCCACGAGAAUGAUGUAAUCAGAACUACUAUAUUGCAGUUUUAUUUAUAUAUACGAAUGGGUUUUAUUCUAUAUGUUACGGCCCUCAGUGGCAAGUCGAAAGUUAUAAGUUGACUCUUAUAUCUCCCCUAGAUAGUAUCUUAUUACUAUUACGUUUCAUUUUUGCCUUACAUACUCGGUACAUUCUUCAUACUGACGUCCCUAUUCCUGGGGCACUCUGUUUCAUGCCACGCAGGUGUAGAUAGGCGAGGUGAGGAUCAUCCACUGUAGGCUGCCUCCAAAUAUCAGCUUUUGGUUGGUGAGCUCCACAUCUUCCUGGAGUAUUGCCGAGUCACGUUCUAUAUAUGUUACUUUAUUUUACGAGGAUGUCGGGAACCCUUUCCCGACUUAUAUAUUAUGGUCAUGUUUUCUUAGAGGUUUUGCAGACAGUGUCCUGUGUAUAGUUUUAGGUAUGACAUGUCAACGGCCUUAUCGGCCCCUAUGUAUCCAUAUAAAUCUUUUUUGGAUUAGUUAUGUGAGUUAAGUUCUAAUAUUGUCAAUUAUAUAUAUAUAGAUAUGGCCUAUUAUGGCCCGUGAUGAGACUUAUUUAAAAAAAGGUACAUUGCGCUCGGUUGAGUAGGCACCAGGUGCUAGUCGUGGCCCUCUGAUUUGGGUUGUGACAAAAGUGGUAUCAGAGUAGUUCUGUCUUAGGGUUGUCUGCAAGCCGUGUCUAGUAGAGUCCUGUUUAUGAAUGUGUUGUGCACCACGUUGUAUAAACAGGAAACUACUGGGCAUUUAGGGACCGGUUACCCUUCCUUCUUGAUAUUAGAUCGUGCAAUAGAGCAGAGUCGUAGGGAAUAAAGCCUUUGACCUUUGACUUGUUUUAUAUAUACAGCGAUGCCUAUGACCAUGAAAGCUACAACUAGUCAGAAGGGUAAAGGAGUGGCAGAUGAGGGCAUAAGUAGAGUACCAAUGUCUAGUGAGGGCCAGAGUGAGGCCUUGAGGGGAAAUGCGACACCCUCGCAUAGUUCUCCGAUUUUGCCAGCACCCGAGGAGAUGAGGAGGAACCUAAUACCUCCACCUGUUGCUCAUGAUGAGGAUAUAGAUAUGCAGAGUGCAGUAUAGUUGUUGACUAGAUUGGUAGCCGCUCAGGCUCAGCGCCAGGUAGGUAUAGGUGUUGGCUAUGUUGACAAGGCUAUUAGCGCGAGAGUUCGAGACUUCAUCAACCUGGACCCUCCAGUGUUUACCGGAUCCAACAAGUAUGAGGACCCGCAAAACUUUAUUGAUAGGAUGCAGAGGACUUUGAGGGUGAUGCAUGCAUCAGACACUGAGUCAGUAGAGUUGGCCUCUUACCGAUUGCGGGAUGUUGCGGUUUAGUGGUAUGAAACUUGGGAAUUGUCUAGAGGUACAAAUGCAUCUCCAGCGGUAUGGGAAGAGUUCUCAGGGGCUUUCUUGCGUCAUUACUUGCCGGCAGAGAUUCGUCAGGCAAGGGUAGACAAGUUCUUGGCUCUUAAACAAGGAAAUAUGAGUGUGCGGGAGUAUAGUCUCCAGUUUGAUUCCUUGGUGAGGUAUGCGGCCAAAAUGAGUGUCCGAGUGCAUCGGUUUGUGGUAGGACUUGGGCCGCACCUGAUUAAUGAGUGUUUCACAGCCGCUCUACUCGAUAGUAUCGAUAUUUCCCGCAUCCAGGCUUAUGAUCAGAAUUUGGAGGAUCAGAAAUGACAACAAUACGAGAAUCGUGAUGAGGGUCAGCGUAAGAAGGUUAGGUCUGCUAGGCAACCUGAGGAUUUUUCGGGCGAUCCUAUGUCACCAUAUCCUGUUGAAAGUGUUCAACAGUUGCAGAAGCCGUAUUAUGAGGGAUCUGUCUAUUCUGAAUCAGGUCAGGGCUCGAGAAUUUUGAGUUUUCAGAAUCGGAGGGAUUCAGCGCAGAUGAGGGCGCCUCCUCCGCGGUGCAGUCAAUGCGGUAAAGCUCAUUCUGGACAAUGUCGUCAAGGAUCUAAUGUAUGCUAUACUUGUGGAGACCCUAGUCAUUACAUGAGGGAUUGUCCUAUGAAUGACAGAAGCGGGAUGGUUCAUCCUACCAUAUCUAUAACGGUCUCCUCCUCUUCAGUACGCCCUCAAGAGCGAGGCCGUCGGGCAUCAGCUGGUAAAGGUAGAGGCAGGGGUGGAGCAUCUAACUCCGGCGGUAGUUAGAACCGCAUAUAUGCUUUGGCAGGUUAUCAGGACCCAGAGGCUACACCGGAUGAUGUGUUAGGCACUGUGACUAUGGGUAAUGUUCGAUCUUAUUAAUGCAAAUUGUCCAGUUAAUAUGAUUAAUAUAAGAGUGAGUUGUCAUUACGUCUGAAGUGUUAAGGGAAACUAAUGCUAGCUUGAAAGCAAAGUAAGAUCCUGAGGAUAGUGGACUAAGGGAGGAAAGAGGAGUAACCUAGGACAUUAAGAAGUUAAUACCUUGAUAGCUCUAACGCUCAAGGGAGGAAACAACAUAUAGUACGCAAGAUUUUGGGAAAGUUAGUAUAAUGGAAAAGAAAGUUAUGAAUCCNNNNNNNNNNNNNNNNNNNNNNNNNNNNNNNNNNNNNNNNNNNNNNNNNNNNNNNNNNNNNNNNNNCCCGACUUAUAUAUUAUGGUCAUAUUUUCUUAGAGGUUUUGCAGACAGUGUCCUGUGUAUAGUUUUAGGUAUGACAUGUCAACGGCCUUGUCGGCCCCUAUGUAUCCAUAUAAAUCUUUUUUUGAAUUAGUUAUGUGAGUUAAGUUCUAAUAUUGUCAAUUAUAUAUAUAUAUAGAUGUGGCCUAUCAUGGCCCGUGAUGAGACUUAUAAAAAAAAAAUAAGGUACGUGGUGCUCGGUUGAGUAGGCACCGGGUGCCAGUCGUGGCCCUCUGAUUUGGGUCGUGACAGAAACACGUAAUGGCAAGAUCGAAAUAGGAAAAAAUACGUAUGAUAUUCUUGAGAAAGAUUACACCGUACUUCCUUAGAAUAGUAAAUCUUAUGUAACUAUAGUAUUAUGAAGUUUCAUACGAAUUUAUUUUUGAGACUACAUAUGUUACUUAGCAACAUACAUCUCCUUCUUAAUGAUAUAGGAAGAUCUCUUAAAAUUGUGGGUUGUGGGCCCCACUAUUGUGAUGACUUAGCCAAAAAAAUUUCUAAAUAUGCCAUCUAGUCUUAUGAACCAAGAGUCAUUGCUUAGUCUUAGCAAUUAAAUCCCUUGUUGCCACGUUGGGGGUAUUGUCUCCUGCAAAGUUAUCCACCAAUUUCCAAUUACAUGGUUAAUCUCUCAUUAAACUAAUAAUUAACUAAUUUUUCAUAUAAUUAAGUAAUAUCCUAAUUUACUUAAAAUACUAAUCACUUUUAACACACUUUAUAUACCUUACUAUCAUGGUCAUGUGGUACCUUGUAUGGCACUAGUUCGUAAAUAUGGGGUAUUAUAGCUUGGACCGUAUUUUAUUCCAAAUUGUCAAACUUCGACGAAACUCAUUUUCUUCGUUUCGCUUACCCUCACAUCUUCACGAAUUUACUUAUCACUUGUUUGAAAUAGCGUAGUACUUAUAACCUCAAAAUAAUCUUGUUCUUGAACUGAUGUCAAUUUAUGACAAAUCCAACGUACAAUACUACGGGGUGUAACAUUGUUGUAAUACUGCGGAGUGUAACCUCGCAGGUAUCCGCAUCUGCAGAACCGCACCUGCGAGGAUUCUUUCGCAGGUGCGGCUAACGGGCUUCAGACCGGGGCAACUUAGGCAUUUCACAUUUUCUCCAUUCUAAAUCUACAAAUACACGACCUAGCUUAUUGGAAAUACAUCUUUGGCUUAUUUUCAGUCUCCUUGACUAGAGAAGACAAGUUUUGGAGCUAGGGUUCUUGCACACACACUUGGGUCUUGAAAAUUUGAAGCUUUUGGUUGAGAAUUUCUUACCCAUUUAUGUUCAUUUCUUCAUUUCCUUACUUUGUAUUAUAUAUGUAAGUGUGUAGUAUUUUCCAACACUUGAAUAUUAUUUAUGGGAAUAUUCAUAUUUAAAGUGUGGAUUAAAUACUUUGUUGUGCUUAUGUAUCGAACGAUUUUUAUUUAUUAUGAAGUGAGCUAUUAUUUUUUUAAUUAUUCUUGUUCUUUAAUGUUUUCAAAGGGAUUAGCUAACCCUAGGACUCGCCCAUUAACUUCGAAUUAAUUUUGAAAAAGAUAAUUUAGGGUUGGAAAAGAUUAAUUAACAAGAACUUGAGGUGUUAACCCUCACUUUAUAGAUUCUACCUAGGGAUAUGAUUGAACUACUUGUAUCCAUAUUCGGGUGUUCUUAAUCUCUUAAUUGUUUUAGGAAUAAUUCAAUUAGGAAGUCUUGUAGUCUUCAGAAGAAGCUAAUAACAAAUUAUUACCCGAGGCUAUUUAACAUAAACUCGCUCAUAUUUGUAUAAUCGUUAAAUACAUUGGAUCGUUACUUGAGUGUAAUUCCCCGUGUAUCCAUGCUUUUAGCCAUUGAUCAUUUUACUUACUUUCUAGGUUAGUUUAUAUUUUUGCAUUUAGAUAUAAAUAUUUCUCAAAAACCCUUUAUAAGUAUUUGGCUUAGCAUAGUAAGUGAUAAUUCUCUUACACGUCUAAUCACCUACAUAUUAUUCUCUGUGGGAUUCGACCCCGACUUAUAGUUGGGUAUAUUAUAUUUCAUGCAACCGUGUCCAUUUAUGUUUUAGUAGUGGAUUUGGACGUCAUCAAAAUUGGCACCGUUGUCGGGGAAUAAUUUAGCAUAUUUAGGUUGUUUGAGAAAUAAGCGUACGUGCUUUGGUCCAAACUUGUGAAUAUUUGAGUAAUUAUUUUUCUUAUCUUUGUUUAUUUUUCUUGUUGUUUUCUUAUUUUUUCUUGUUAAUUUUCUUAGUUUUUGAAAAAUGGCAUCAUGUAAUGAAAAUUGAUCGGAUGGUAGUUGAUCAUACUUUGAUGACCCUUGUCCUUAUUGUGGAGGACCACACUCAUGAAAAAAUUAUUUAAAUUCUCCCGGAGGCGGAUUGAUCUCAAACCAAUGAGUGGAGUAUAUGUGAUAAGUGUGGUGGUCAAAAUGGUCAUUGGGAUAAUUGUACUUAUUUGUCCUUCCCUUCCCCGAACCCUACUAUGAUGAUUCUACUUUUUGUGAUAACAAGUAUAUGGAUAUGGAAGUGGAAGAAAUUGAGCAUGUUUAAAAUAGAGAGUUCAAGCUCAUGAUGGAAUGCCUACUUGAAAGAAGAAACAAAGAGCAAACUGCCUUGGAGGAGCUUUUGGAAAAUAGUCUUCAAAAUGAUUUGGUGCUUGAAAGGUUGAACUCACAAAUGGGAGAAAUGCUUGAAGCUUUAGAGGUCCAAAAAGCCUUGGAAGUGAAUGAUAGCCAAGAGCUUUCCUUAGAAGUUGAAGCCGAAAAUCCUUCUUUGGCACUUGAUCCAAAUCAAGAAGAACUCUCAAAUGUUCAAAAUGAGAGGAUGAUGCUCAUGUUGGAGGCCAUUCUUGAAAAUGAGGAGAAGCAUAACUUGGCACUCGAGGACUUGAAACAAGUACUAACUCAAAAUGAUGAGAAUAUCCGCACCUUGGAAGACCAAAUGAAAAUAUUGGUUGAGGCUCACUGUGCCCACUAACUUGAGAGUGCGGAAAGAGCUCAAGAAAAGUCCAACUUCGAGGAAGAAAGUGAGCUUUAUUUUGAGAAAUCAAGAAUUGAACAUCCGCCAACCAAAUCCAUGCUUGUUGGUGAUGCCAAAAAAAUAUGGAAUUAGAGUCAACCGAUGUAGUUGAAAAGAUGGUUGAAUUUGACUCUAGUUCGGGGGACCAAGAGGAUGUCAAAAUCCAGAAAGAAUUAUAAUUUGGAGGCUUGAUGUCACAUUCCAAGCAUUUGUCAACAUUGAAAUUAUGUGGUGAUAUGGGAAUUGAACUACACGAGUGAAUGAGGGAUUGCGAAGAGGAGAGGCAAGAGCCAUACAUCUUACAAUUUGAAGGUACAAGAAGGCAAAAUGACAUUCCUCACAUGAAAAUACAAAAUGAAGCAAAUGGCAUUUGGCUUGAUCAUCUACUUACCCCCUCUCCCCCUCCCCCCCCUCCGCUCGUGGUCACAAGCUUGAUUCCAAGUUAGGUGCCCAAUUCAUAUCUUCCAAGUGAAGAAAAAAGUGAUAAAGUUGAUUUGCGUCAUGCCACGACGUUAAAUGCGGUACUUGGUGGGAGGCAACCCACCGUUUUCAAAUGUUGUUGUUAGAUUUUUAUUUUUGCUGAACAUUUUGAUGUGUGUGUGUGUGUGUGUCUUAGAGUGCAGGAAGAACAAGUGGCUAACCUUGUUUUUUUGCGGCAAAAAUAAUGCGAUCGCAUAGUGGUUAUGCGGAUCGCAUAUUGGUCGCAGAAUGAGUCAGAGGUUCGUAAGCUAUGGUCACUCAAAAAUGCGGUGGAAUGCAAAUUCUGCGGACCAUAUAAGGGUUAUGCGAACGAAAAUGCGGUCGCACAUUGGCCAAGCACACAUCCAUCAUUUUCAAAAUUUGAAGUCGCUUUUGAAAUUUUCUUUUUUUUAGAAUAGUUUAUUAUAUUAUUUUUGACUAAUCUGCAACGUUUCAAAUUUUUUGGAGUUGAAUUGAGGAGUUUGAAGUGUUGAAGUGAACAAAAAUAGUGGCUUCCCAGUCUUUGCAUCAGUCAUCUAGUGCAACUACAUCUGCAGAACUUUGCUUGCAUAUGCGGCCUCGUAGAAGCGUCAAAUGAAGCGCAGAUGCAAAAACAUCGUAGAAGCGGUUUGCCAACCACAAAAGCGUAGGCGCAGAAGCGGUCUAAAAUCCACAGAUGCGACUCGCCGGGUAAUUUUAAAGAGUCCAUAUGUUCUUAAGAAGGUAAAAUUCAAAACCCUCCUUUCCCAAAAUCUAACUCCUCUCAUCUCUCACAUUCAUCUCUACUGCUCAUGCACUCUAUUGCUCUCGCACACGACAACUCAGGUAUAAUCUUUAUCUCUACUCUCCUUCUUUUUUCUUCCUCUUCUUAUUCAUCAUUUGUUUUUCCAUGGUUAUUUUUCGCACAGUCCUGUUUUCCCCCUUUUAUUAUCAAUGUUAGUUUUAGGAGUGAGAGACAUUGGUUGAGAGUGUGUUUGUUUGUGCUGUUGAUGAUGAAAAACAAUUGGGGAAAUAUAAGUACCAAAUUGCUUCAAAGAAUCAAAAAUCACUUUGUGCUUGUCAUAUGUUCGACAAAUUGUCUGAAAGAACUUAUGUUGCUAUGUGCCUUAAAAUCAUGUGGAGUCAAGUCGUAUGUUCAUGUAGUACACUAAUUUUGAAUUCUUGAGUAUAAAUUAUGUGCCAAAAUCAUGUCUGGAAUUGAAAAGAGUCGGCAGUAGCUGGGUUUUUGUAACCCUUGAUGAACAUCGCAGAAGCAAAAAUAGUGUCGCAGAUACGGCCUUGCACCUGCGAUGCCUCUUUAGUAGGUGUGAUUUUUGUUCAUCAAUGACAGUUCGCAGAAGCGCAUGAAACUGCCCAGAAGCGGAACCGCACCUGCGAUGGUUUUUCCGCAGGUGCAGUGACUGGGCAGUUUUUGCAAAAAUAGUGGCACUACAAUUAUGGUUUGCUGGGUCUGUUUGGCUUGAUUCUUUGGCCUAAUUGCAUUGUUUUUAAUUGUUGAACAUAACUCUAAUGCCUGACUAACUUUGUUUUGAUUUUUUAGGUACUUUGAGCUUAAAAUAGACCCGUAUAUGAACAAAAAUACGGCCCUUAAUCAUGAAAUUGAGGAAGAGGUUGUGGAGGAGCAAUUCAACACUAAUCGAUUCAUGUCUUCUGAUUGUCAUCACCCAUAUUAUGACAUCCUUCUUACAAAGAAGGUCGUACUUGAAAAGGGAAUCUCCGAGGAUAAAUUGGCCGAGCUAGUUCCAUAUUUUUAUGGCUGUCUACAGACCACCGGCUGGUCUUGUUUCAUGCCUACUCUGUGUGAGGCCAAUAAGGAGUGGGUUUGUGAGUUUUACACAAACCUUAAGCGUACAAACUUCGAUGACCCACAACUCACCAUAAGAGGCAAAACAGUGAGGUUUGGAACUGAACAGAUCAAUGAUAUUUUAGGUCUUCCUGACCUUCCACUUGAGCUGGUACAAGAAAAAGAUCAUUGCUAAAACGAAGAUUGGCUAGUUUCUAAACUUUUUCCCGCAAACAAGAGAGCAAAGUGGGCCAACAAGAGAAAGGGUUUGAAGUCCAUCAACUUCACAACUGAGGCCAAGAUGUGGCUUUACAUCAUCUGCAACAGAGUCUCACCUUGUGGCAAUGUUUCGGAUGUUUCAUAUGGCAGGGCCCUAAUGAUCGCAUGCAUACUUGAUGGCAUUCAUGUGAAUGUCGGCUAUUAUAUCAUUCAGGUGCUGAAAGAGCACUUGCUAGACGACAGUUCGGGCUUGAUGUUCCUUUCAUUGAUUACAGAAUUGUGCCGGCGGGCAAAUGUUGAUAUGCAUAGCACCGAUUGUUGGUUACCGGCUGACAAACCCUUUCAUCCAUUGAGAGUAAAGGGUGAGGACAGUGCAGUAAAGAGUAAGAAGAGGAAAAUCACCACAGUUGCCGGACCAGAGUCCUCCUCACAGGCAGCACUGCCUGAGGGAUCAUUUGGGAUGCUGAACUCCCAUCUUGUCUCCAUUCGUAACUUAGUGUCACAGCUCCCUAGUGGAACUCCACAUUCCCAGCCUAGGUCUGAGUAUUGUACUAAAGAAGAAGUGACGACAUACCUGGAGGCAAAAAAUAUUAGGUAGAGUCUCAUGAGAAGUUAGCAGCUUCUGUUAGCAGGCUCAAGGUAGCCUAUGGCAAAAUGGCCAAGGCACAUGUAGAUCUUCAGGUAGACUUCCAAAAAGAGAAAGAGAGAAAUAAGAAGAAGGGCAAGUUCAUGAUAAAGAUGUAGAGAGGCAUCAAGGCCAUCUUCAAAUGGGGGUAGCCGAACAGGAAGAUAUCGGUCGAGGACAAAGAUGAUAGUGAAGAGUAUUCGUUCUUGUCGAAUGUUGUUGAUGCUGAUACUGAUGAUACCGAUGAUGAUGAGGUCGAGAGCUCUACAUGACAGUGAUGAGCCUUUUCCCGCAGUCUGCUAGUCUGAUGCAGACCUCAGGGAGACCCUCAAACUACUCUUAUUUUAUCUUGAUAUUGUGCAGUGAGGACAUUGGAGUAUUUUUAGUUGGGGGUGGCUUUGGGGAGUAUACUUUAUUUGUACAUUGAUGCUUAACUUAUUCCCUUGACGGGCUUAUGCUUUUGUAUGGAUAUUGUGUGCCCUUGUCGGGCUUGUUUUACUAUUGUUUAUCAUGUGCUCUUGUCGAGCGUAGUUUGUGAAUUGGUGAUAUCUUUGUGGAUUAGUCACUUUUGUUAUUCUAUUUUAUUUUUCUUUAUUUAUUUAUUUUUUUUUAGUAGUUUUUAGUUUAUGUUAUUUUUAUUCCUUUAGUAUUAGUUGCUUUUGUUAUUUUAUUUUCUUUAGUAGCUUUUAGUUAUUUUAUAUUUAUUCCUUUAGUGUUUAUUUUAUUUUCUUUAGUAGUUUUUAGUUUAUAUUAUUUUUAUCUCUUUAGUAGUAAUAUAAUUUUUAAUAAAUUUUCUUGGAUUUUCUUUAUGCUACGGUUCUUUCCCGGGGAAUAUUUUUGUGUUGAACCGGGUGACUUUUCCCUAUGAUGGAUGGUGUGACAACUUUCUUAAGGGAAUUAGUCUUGUUUUGUUAUGUAGAGACUUUUGGAUUAUUUGGUACUAAUAAAAUUAGUCUCUUGUAUGUGAAAUGUGAAUUAAGAAUACCCCUCCAAAUUUUGGUUGUAAAUUGAAAAAGUAAGUUGCAUGGGGAAGAAUAAUUUUUGUGAUAACCUUUUGGCUCAUUUUGUGACUCUUUGCCCACUAGUUGGCAUGAUAUUGCUCUAAUUGUUCCUAUUAAGAGGUAAAAUUGAUCCGUCUUGAUUAGUUCAUGUGCCAUGUGUGUUAGUUUUUGUUAAAAAUAAUUUUUGUGUUUACUUUUAUCAUCUAGAACUUGCCCAAUUGGUCUUUCAAUGCUAUUGUUAAUUACGUUUGGUUGGAGGGAUGACCUUAGGCAUUCUUUGUGAUCUUUAAAAAAGCCAUUUUAGCCUUUCGAGCUUACCAUUGCAUAAAUAUUAUCACUAGUUAACCCCAUUUGAGCCUUUAAGCUUUUCUUUGGCUAACACAUUAUAAACCUUUACCGUUUUAUGAAAUAAUUCCCUUUUUUGAACCCGUCCCUCCUUGAAUGUUAAGAAUGAGGCUAAAAGCCUAAGUUGGGGGUGUUGGUGUUAAUUGGGAAAUNNNNNNNNNNNNNNNNNNNCUACAAGCUUCAAAAGUCUUUAUGGGAUCUCCAACCGAAUGUUCUUGAAUAGGCGACGAAUUAAAAUAAGGGCAAGCUUAUGGCAUGAUAUUUUGUAACACUUGAAAUUCUUUGUUGAAAGUGAGUGUCUUUGUUCAUUUGUCCCUUGUGUUGUUAUUGUAAAUAUGGUAAUUUUAAAACUUUCUUUCUUGUGAGGGAACACAGAUUAUGAUGGAUUGGUAAUAUUGAUAGAUUCCGAAUUGAGUAAAUUGAGCAUAUGUAGUAGACUAGUGCUUUUGAGUCACUUCUUGAGGCUUGGUUAUUGUCACUUGAUAAAUUUGAAACUUCAUUUCAUUCUUGAGAUUGAGUUUUAAAUGAGGGAGUUAUUUGGUUGAGUCACAUGUUUGAACCUAAUUAAUAGUACCAACCAAUGUCAGAAGUGUUAUGCAUAAUUGGAAAAUGUGAUUUGGAAAUGAUAGCGAUGCUAAUUGUGCUUUAAAUUGUAGAGCCUCAUUGAAUUUUUGGUUUUGAUUUGCUUGAGGACAAACAAAAGCUUUAAGUUGGGGUGUUGAUGAGAGGUGAUUUUACCAUUUAUUUUAGUCUCUUUUCUUUAGUUUUUGCAUCCGUUAAUUAUAAUAUGAGGUUGUUUAUGGUGUGUAUUGCUAGAUUUUUAGGUAAAUGAUGUCUUGAAGAGAGUGAGAUCAAAUGAAGUAAAUUUGUGCAUAAAGAGUAAGAGAAUUGACAAUAUUUCUAGUGGAAUCGCAUCUUCGCAGAAUGGCCCGCAUCUGCGAGGAAAGGUCCGCAUCUGUGGAAGAAGACCUACAAGGCAGAAAUCGCAUCUGCGGUCACGCUUCUGCUCUUGAUGUUUGCAUCAGCAGAUGUGCUCCAGCGACCACUAGUCCGCUUCUGUGGAACCAACUUCACCAAAUUUCACUUCUGCGAGUAGGUAUCCGCAUCUUCGGAACCGCACCUGCAAGGAUUCUUCCGCAGUUGCGGCCAACGAGCUUCAAACCUGGGCAACUUAUUAAUUUCACAUUUUCUCCAUUCCAAACCCACAAAUACACGACCUAGCUUAUUGGAAACACGUCUUUGGUUUAUUUUCAGUCUCCUUGACUAGAGAAGACAAGUUUUGGAGCUAGGGUUCUUGCAACACACUUGGGACUUGAAGAUUUGAAGAUUUUGGUUGAAAAUUUCUUACCCAUUUAUGUUCAUUUCUUCAUUUCCUUGCUUUGUAUUGUAUAUCUAAGUAUGUAGUAUUUUUUCCAACACUUGAAUAUUAUUUAUGGGAAUAUUCAUAUUUAAAGUGUGGAUUAAACACCUUGUUGUGCUUAGGAAUUGAACGACUUUUAUUUAUUAUUAAGUGAGUUAUUAUUUCUUUAAUUAUUCUUGUUCUUUAAUGUUUUCAAAGGGAUUAGCUAACCCUAGGACUCGACCAUUAACUUUGAAUUAAUUUUGGAAAUGAUAAUUUGGUAUUGGAAAAGAUUAAUUAACAAGAACUUGAGGAGUUAACACUCACUUUAUAGAUUCUACCUAGGGAUAGGAUUGAACUAGUUGUAGCCAUAUUCGGGUGUGCUUAAUCUCUUAAUUAUUUUAGGGAUAAUUCAAUUAGGAAGUCUUGUUAUUCUUCAGAAGAAGCUAAUAAAGAAUUAUUACCCGAGUCUAAUUAACAUAAACUCGCUCAUAUUUGUAAAAUCAUGAAAUACAUUGGAUCGUUACUUAAGUGUAAUUCCCCGUGUAUCCAUGCUUGUAGCCAUUGAUCAUUUUACUUACUUUCUAGGUUAGUUUAUAGUUUUGCAUUUAGAUAUAAAUAUUUCUCAAAAACCCUUUCUAAGUGUUUGGCUUAGCAUAAUAAGUGAUAAUUCUCUUACACGCCUAAUCUCCUACAUAUUGUUCUCUGUAGGAUUCGACCUCGACUCAUAGUUGGGUAUAUUAUAUUGCAUGCGACCGUAUUCAUUUACUUUUUAGUAGUGAAUUUGGACGUCAUCACUAAGCACUGCCUCCAUUAUUGCAUAAGGCUAAGAACUUCCUUCCAUUGCAUGAGGUUAAGCAUUGUCUCCAUUAUUUGCAUGAGGUUAAGCAUUGCCUCCGUCAUUGCAUAAGGCUAAAUACUGCUUUCAUUCACAUAGGGUUAAUCAUUACCCUCAUUAUCUGCAUAGGGCUAAGCACUGCCCUCAUCUCACACAAGGUUAAGCACGGCUUCUCUUCAUUCUCGCACGUGGCUAAGCAUUGCCUAUUUCCUCUAUCGAACAAUCAACAUCGACGCAUCUUUGCAUUUCAUGGGCUGAAACAUUGCCAUAUUAUCUGAAGGCAUCAUGGUCUGAAGGCAUCAUCCUCAUAGCUCGAAGACAUCAUGCCAUGGCCGGAGGAUCUCUCAAAAUUGCAUAUAAUUAUUAAAAGGCGUCAUAGUCCAGAGGUAUCAUCCUCAUGGCCCGAGGACACCAUUUCAUGGCCUACGAAUCCCUUAUCAUACGCUUCAUGGCCCAAGACGUCAUGGUCUAAGGACAUCAUCCUCAUCGUCCAAAGACAACUCUCAUUGUCCGAAGGGAAUUUGCAUCAUGUUUAAAUUUUCGCAAUAACCCUGUAUAUUCACAUGCAUCGUGUUUUAAAUUUUGCAAGUAACUCGGAAGGAAACUGUUCUACAAACAGGAGCAAUUCUCGCUCCGGUUUCCGUUCACAACGUUCACAUCUUUCGAUCAUCUCGAACAUAACCGAUGAUCAAUAAUUGAUCACCCUUUAUCCCGUAACUGCUCAAAUACUUGCCUUAUACAUCCGUAACGUUCAAAUUCGCAUUCGUAGCUCCACCUGAAAUUAUCCGUUAUUCACGACGCUAUCCUAUCCAAGAGAUCCUUUUUCAAAAUGCACGACCACUCUUAUAACAACUCUAUCUGUCUCAUUCGCCGUUGGAUCCAAAACUACACAUGGCUUGAUUCUCGUAACACCAGGGAUAUGUAGGCAACUCAGGAAUUAGGGUUCGGCCCCCAAUUUUCAAAAAUACAUCAUCCUCACUCAUUUCGGACAAAAUUGGUCAUCAAUUUUUUUACCCUACAACUCUUUCAUCAUUCCCGGGUAAAGAGGGGCAGCUGUUGAUACCCAAUUUUGCCCUCAUAUUUUUUAAAUAUCAUAUAUACUUUCAAAAUAUCAUUCUUGCAUCAUCACCAAUUUACAAGAGUCAUAUAAGUAGUUUCUAUACUUUUUCAUAAUUUUUAAGGCUUUAAAAUUAAUUUUUUGGUAUUUAAAUUUUUUAAAUAUUUAUUAAUUACUCCUUCAAAUUAUUUUGUGAUGACUUAAUCAUCCAAAUUUACUAUUUACCCACAUAUAUGCUUUAUAACAUUUUUUACUUCAUUUUUAUAAUUACAUUUGUAUUUUCGAGCUUUUUAUACAAUUUUGCAAUAAUAGCCUAUAUUCUAUCAUAACUACAUUAUUUACAUUAUUUAUAUUAAAAUAGAAUUUUUAUAUUUUUAUAAUGCUAAGCUAUUAUUUCCAAUCAUUUUCCUGCAUAAGUAAUAUUUUUAUUAUUUAUUAAUUAUUUCUAUAAAUUAUUUUUAAUAAUUUUUUCGCAUAUUUAAUUUCAUAGCCCAAUUCCAAGCUAAUUUUCGGACCAAAAACAAGCCCAAAACAUUUGGCCCAUUCCCAGUUCACCCUUCAGCAUCCCAAGACCAAACAACCCUCUUUAAAACCCGAUCGCAACCCCAUUUUUAACCCGCACCGCUCUUCUUUCGAUCGCGACCGUUGAUCUCAAAUGAUCAACGACCCAAUUUAAGACGACCCUUUUAUUUAUAUCCCUUCCCACUAACCCUAGAGACCCAUUCUCCACUUCAGCCGCCCCCAAUUCCUCUCGAACAUUCCUCUUAUCUCUGAGAGAAACCCUAGCCGCCUACAUUCAAACCCCAGCCCCUAAUCCAAAAUCACUUGGAAAAUAUUCCAUAUUCCCUUUCCUUUUUUGCACACAUGACGGUUCAUAUCAUUUCCUCAACGUUACAGUAUUUAGUACUCGAUUAUUUUUGGAAGUUGAGUCAGUGGGUGUUUGUUCAACUUCGAUUAUGUACCAUCUUCAUGUUCUUGACUUGAUACACUCACUAUCAGGCUAUAUGGGUCCGAUUUAGUGAGAUUCUUUGACUAUUUGUGUUCUCCUUCUUGAACUAGGGUUUACCCGAUUUUUCUCCUAAAUUGAUUCUGAAUUGAUUUUGCAUGUUUCUCUUUCCUUAUUUGUAUUUGAUUGAUUAUAUUUCCUUGUUUGUUUAUUCAAUUUCUACUACUAUAUAAACUCUUUUCCCCGUUCCCCUUCUAAGUCUGAAUGACUACUGCAAGAACAACUACCACUUAACUAUUGUAUUAUCACUAUCACUCAAUCACUCGCUUUAUUCUGAAAAUUUUGGUUUUGGUCGGCUGAAAGCCAAGGCCAUCGGAGUUCAUUCUAUCGGCCUUCCGAGUGCGAGCAUUGCUCAAGGCUCAUCUAAAGCCCUUGUGAACUUUGACGCACUGGUUUGGGUUCUUUUGUUCUCUUCUACUAUUGAUUAUUGGAGUGCUGCUAAAAUUAUUCUUCUUGUUUAUUUGUUCGUUAGUCUGUAACUGGUAAGUACCUUCGGCCCUUACAAUUUCAUUCUCUUUUCGUUUGAGUUCCUACUUUGUAUAUCUAUGUUCCUGAAACUUUUGUGAAUCAACAUGCUAUCAUUCGCAUCCUUGUCUUCUCUAAAGUUAUUCUUGAGGCUCUAUACUUCUCUAGUAUUUGAACUUGCCUAGUUUUUAACCUUGAUUCUGGCUCUCUUAAGCAUGUUUAUCCUAAUGUGUGUGUUCGAAUGCUUAUUACCUGCUACUCUUCCUGAGUUUAUCCCCCUACUUUGUUUUACAUCCUUGUGAUAGAUCAACUCAUGUGUUCUAAUGUAUCUGAUACUCUUCUAUGACCAAUUCCUAACUAUGGUAUCAGCCAAUUAUGAGCUUUAAUAUGUGUUCCAUGCCUAGUUCAAUCCUGUGUUGUUUAAUACUACUUAUAGUCUAUAAGGUGAGAUGCAAUAUCUAGCCUUUAUGUGACAAUCUAGUUCUUAAUGUGUCUUUGCCCACUAUCAAUUCUGGCUCUACUAAACAUGUUUAGUCUACUAUGUUAUGCUAAUGUUUGUUGUCUAUCUUGAGUUUGCCUCUCUGCCCUGUUCUGAAUUGUUAUGUCAACCAAACUCAUGCUUAGUAAGUAAUUUAAUUCAUGUUAAGGCAUUCAUGCUUAACUUGUUACUCUUCUGGUCCUGAUGUUCAUGAGGACUUGUUAUCAUGAAUUUGUGAUUCUAUUGUGUAUUUGCUGACUUGCUUAAAUCCUGCAUUCUUUAGUACCACACCUUAGGAAUAAACCUUAUAGCUAGCCUUCUUUCACCACAUGUGGCCAAAUAGUAUCAGAUUUGAUGCUUGCUUCUCUUACUGUUGAAGUUUGAUAUGUCUCUUGUACUGUGAUUAAUGUUCAGCAUGAUAAUUUUUUCCUGUUAAGUAAUUGCUCGACCAUGAACCUAUAUUGUUAGUUUCCAUGUUAAACUUACUAUAUUGAGGUUGUUCUCUAUUAAUCCCUUAGCUUUCAUGAUCAGAUCCCCUGUUUGGGGGUGCUCUAGGCUAGUUCUGGCUAUGUUUUGUUUGAAACAUCUUUUGAAAUAGUUUGCUAUCCUACUUUGGUUAAUCUUGUCCCCCUUAGCUUCUAGAAAUGCAAGCAUGAACCUAUCUAUGUGUGCCCUGUCAACAUGUUCUAUGAUCCUAUCUCUAUGAAAACUACUAUCAACAGGCCUCAAAGCUAUCUUAGUUUUCCAUGUGUGGUUUGUUGACUCGUGGGGUUAAGUUUGGUUCAUUUGCAACUGUUGGGUGAUUAAGUCUUCAAUUUGGGUCCGGUGCUGGAAUACUCUAUCUUUGCAUGAAUGGGUAGAAAGCAUGUCUAUAGGGCUCUAAUUGUUUAUUUGCUUUCCAUGCCCCAUUUUUGGGAUUUAUCUGCACAACGUGUUGAUUAACUUGUCUAUUCACUUAGAAAGCAUGACCUAGGGUUAACAUAAUUCCUUAACUUGCGAACGUUAGUAAGUAUGCCUAUAAGGUCUGAAAUUGAAUUUACUGCGCUUAGAUAUCAUACCUUAGGAACUCAGUACAAUGACUGGAAAUGCAUGUUUUAACGUACAUCUUUCAAUUACUUGACUCAUAUAGAUACCAUGUCUAUAGGAUCUUGAAUUGAUUAAUUAAAUUUUGAUAUUGUUGUUGUUCUCUUCUUAUUACAUAGAUUGUCUAAAAAUCAUGCCUAUAGGGAUAAACUGAGUAUUUCUGCAUUUUCAAUGGCCUCACUGCGCAGACGCAAAUCGUGUAGAGAUCAUGUCUAUAGGGUGUUGUCACUCGCUUAGAAAUCAUUCCUAUCGAAUCUUUAAUAUAAUUAUAUGUUAAAAUCAACCGAUUUGUCAAGACAAUCUGCCUAGAAAUACUGCCUAUAGGACUUUAUGUCAACUUUUGAAUCGUUCAAUCACAUAGAAAUCAUGCCUAUAGGUCUUGAAUAAUUUAAUACACCUUGACUCCAAGUCUGCCUAUAUAUUGUUGCCUGCCUAAUAAUCUGAACGUCGUUAGCAUAAGUUCAUAACUGCCUACGUGCAUCUGUGUCUAUAUGAGGAGGCAAACUUGAGCCUUUAUGUGUUGAUUAUGUGUAGUCCUAUAUGUUUUGAAUGCGUGCUAGUCUUAUCACUUUUGAGCAUCCUAAGUAGAGUCUAGAACCACCUAAAUAGUAGGUCCAAAGCCUCCUGGACCAUAGGCAUGGGAUGGGUAGUGCACGCAUAGGAUGCGACCUAGAAUUGAAUUAGAGCGCCUUUAAGUAACAACUUUAACAUAGUAAUCGGAUAGUAGGAGAUGAUAGUCUGUACCUAUAACCUCUAAGACUCGUACUGAAUUAGUUUAGAUCUUAUGAUGUUUUCUUUACACUUGUUACAAUAGACCUUCGAACUUCCAUAUAUAUUUUUAUGACUACUUAGCUUAAUUAUAACUCAAUAAUCCACAUAGCGUAAACUUCGGUCGGGACCCACUGUUGUGGAUCUCAAAGAGUGCCUAACACCUUCUCUUUGAGGUAAUUUGAGCCCUUACCCGAUCUUUGGUGAUGUAGACUAGUCAAACAGAGUUAUUUGCAAAUAGGUGCCCUAACGUACCUUAAAAAAUCGUUAGGUGGCGACUCUUCUCCUUUAACACCCAUUUAAACGAAUUGUCACACGUUGAAGCCCGCUUUCACGAGAAAAUGGGGCACGACACAACCCUCAGAUGGAUGGAUUGUCCGAGCGCACUAUUCAGAUACUAAAGGAUAUGCUACGCGCUUGUGUCAUGGAUUUCGGGGGGGUUUUGGGAUCAGUUUUCGCCGCUUGUAGAGUUUUCCUACAAUAACAGCUAUCAAUCGAGCAUUUAGAUGGCUCUGUAUAAGGCUUUGUAUGGGAGACAGUGUCGGUCUCCGGUGGGUUGGUUUGAGCCAGGUAAGGCUAGGUUAUUAGGUACUGACUUGGUUCAGGAUGCUUUGGACAAAUUUAAGUUGAUUCAGGAUCGGCUUCCUACGGCGUAGUCUAGACAGAAAAGCUACACCGAUCGGGAGGUUCUUGAUGUUGCUUACAUGGUGGGGGAGAAGGUACUACUCAGAGUUUCACCCAUGAAGGGUGUUAUGAGGUUCGGGAAGAAAAGCAAGUUGACCCCUCAGUAUAUUGGGCCUUUUGAGGUGCUUGAGAGGAUUGGAGAGGUGGCUUACAAGAUCGCAUUGCCUCCUAGUCUAUCGAGUGUUAAUCUAGUAUUUCAUGCUUCCAUGCUCCAAAAGUAUGUCGGCGAUCCGUCUCAUAUUUUGGACUUCAGUACGGUUCAGUUGGAUGGUGAUUUGACUUAUGAUGUGGAGCCAGUGGCCAUUUUGCAUCAGCAGGUUCGAAAGUUGAGGUCAAAGAACAUAUCUUUAGUGAAGGUGCAGUGGAGAGGUUAGCCAGUCGAGGAGGCUACUUGGGAGACCGAGCGGGAGAUGUGGAGCAGAUAUCUACACUUAUUUGAGACUCCAGGUAUGAUUCCAGACCCGUUCGAGGACGAAUAUUUAUUUAAGAGGGGAAGGAUGUAACGACCCGAUCGGCCAUUUUGAGUAAUACAGCCUUGUUCCCCCAUUUAUUCCUUAUUCUAUGCUCAUUUGUUGUUAUGUAACUUGACGGAGUAGUUGCUUCAGUUCUGGAGAUAUUUCUGAAUGAAUUGGGAUACUUAGUCCUAAGGUUGAAAGCCUAAGUUGAAAGAGUUGACCGGAUGUUGACUUAUGCGUAAAUGACUCCGGAAUAGAGUUUUGAUGGUUCUGAUAGCUCUGUAUGGUAAUUUUGAACUUAGGAAUGUGUCCGAAUAUUAAUUUGAAGGUCCGUAGAUGAUUUUGGCUUGAAUUGGCAAAAGUUGAAAAAUGAAAGUUUGGAAAGUUGAGAAGUUUGACCGAGAGUUGACUUUGUGGUUACCGGGAUCGGAUUUUGGUUCCAGAUGUUGGAAUAGGUAUGUUCUGUCAAUUAUGACUUGUGUGCAAAAUUUGAGGUUAAUCGGAGUUGGUUUGAUAUAUUUCGGCAUUAGUUUUGAAAAUGUUCAUAAGUUCAUUAGGCUUGAAUCAAUGUGCGAUUUGUGAUUUUAGUAUUGUUUGAUGUGAUUUGACGCUUCGAACGAGUUCGUAUGAUGUUUUAGGACUUAAUGGUAUGUUUGGUUGAGGUCCCGGGGGCCUCGGGUGUGAUUCAGAUCAUGUUCGGUGCGUUUUGGAACUUUGAAGACUGCUGAUUUUUGUUGUUGCUGGUUUCUUUAUAUGCGAUCGCGAGUGGAGGAUCGCGAUCGCGAAGGAUUCUUAUUGGCAAUUGGGGAUUUGUUCUCUACGUUCGUGAUAGUGUAUUCCCGUUCGCGUAGCUUCAUGAGGCUUAGGUCAUCACGGACGCGAGGGGGUCAACGCGAUCACGUAGGGGAGUGGUCAGUUGGGCGUUAGGCUUUAAGCAUACGCGAUCGCAGAGGUGUGAACGCAUUCGCAUAGGGUAAGGUGUGAUGACCAUCGCAUUCGCGACUUGGUCUUCGCGUUUGCAUAGGCGAUUUUUGGAGGGCAUCUUAUUUUGUUCUUCGUGAUCGCGAGGGAUUUUCCGCGAUCGCGAAGAGGAACAUCUGGGUAGACUGUUAAAUAUCAAAAAAGAGGGUUAGAGUUAUAUUUCAUAAUUUAAUUUUGGGAGCUCGGAUUGAGGCGAUUCUUGGAGGAAUUUUCAAGGAAGUGAUUAGGAUAAGUGAUUCUAACUCGGAUUUAGUUAAUAUACAUGAAUCUAUCAUUGCUUUUAUCAUCUAAUUAGUGUUUUGGGUUGGAAAAAAUAGGAAAAAUUAUAGAAACUUCAUAGGCUUAAAAUUGAGGAUUUAGGUUUGACUUUUUGAGUUGACUUUUUGACUUUUGUUAAAGAACUUAGCUUUCUCAUCAUAAUUGAUUCCUAUAGCUUGUGUUGAUUAUAUCGAGUUGUUUGUGGCUAGAUUCGAGGCGUUUGGAGGCCGAAUCGCGAGGCAAGGACUUGUUGGAGUAAAGAUUUGCACGGUUUGAAGUAAGUAACACUUCUAAACUUGAUUAUGAGGCUAUGAGCCCCUGAAAUACGUGUUAUGUGAUUGGUGUUGAGGUGGCGCAUAUACUAGGUGACGGGCGUGUGGGCGUGCACCGUAGAAAUUGUGACUCGGUCGAUCCUGUGAAACUGUGUAGCCACUAAAUCUUGCUAUUACUCAUGUGUAUUCUAUAUGUUGGAGAAUUUGAGUUGUGAUUUAUGUUAGAAAUCAUGUUUAGGCUAUGUACUGGUAUUAUUGGGACCCACGGUGGUCGUUCUUUUGCUGUUGAAUUAUUUUCUUAAAUUGCAGUUAUGUACUUAGUCACAUUCAUCAUUGCAUAUCAUAUCUCAGUCUCUGUUACCAUAUAUUGUCACAUCAUGUAUCAUUGUUUUGGGCUGGUUGGCAUGAGUGUUGUGAGCUCAAGAGAUUGGAGAAAUUGUUGACUGAGUGAGGUCGAAAACUUAAACAUGUUUAGUCUGAUGUUUUAGCAAAUGAACUAAAUAACUUAAGUAUGUUUAGUCUGAAGUUUUAGCAAAUGAACUAAAUAACUUAAGCAUGUUUAGUCUGAAAUUUUAGCAAAUGAACUAAAUAACUUAAACAUGUUUAGUCUGAAGUUUUAGCAAAUAAACUAAAUAACUUCAGCAUGUUUAGUAUGAAAUUUUAGCAAAUGAACUAAAUAACUUAAGCAUGUUUAGUCUAAAGUUUUAGCAAAUGAACUAAAUAACUUCAGCAUGUUUAGUCUGAAGUUUUAGCAAAUGAACUAAAUAAUUUCAGCAUGUUAAGACUGAAAUUUCAGAUAAAAUUCAUGACAAAACUGUAGACUGCAGGAUAAAUAACUUCAGCAUGCAUUAGCUAAAACUUCAGGAUGUGGCGUUGCAAUUCCACUGAUAUAUUAGGUAAAAUUCACUUACUUUAAUAUGAUUACAAAUAUAAGUUUAUAACCUUACUGUUGUACUGAAUAAAGUUUAAUGACCCUACACAAAAUUAACUCUAUUAACAAAAAUACUAAAAUAAUUUUCCCAAUGCCUGAAAAAAGGGAACGAUAAAAAUUAUCGAAAAAUAUAAGUAACGGAAUGUGCAACAUGAAUCACAUAUAUAUUGCAAAGGAAUUGAAUACAUACGAUAAUCUUCAACCCACUUUGGUAUAGUUGUUUAAUUUUCUUUCUUUUUCAGACCAAAAUUAACACUGCACGUACUGUACAUUCAUGUGUCCACUCAAACAUCUAAAACCAUAAUCAUGAAAAAAUUAAAAUCAAAGAUAAUACAUUAACAUGAAACAACUUCAUGCUACAUUAGCAUGAAGUUUUAGCUUCAAGGUGAAACAACUCCAUGCAAAUGUGAUUCUGAAGAUGAAUUUGGACAAGUUUUUAUUUUUUUAUAAAGUUGCUGAGAGGAGAGGAGGAGAUCGUUUUAUAUCUUUUGUCAGGGGUGUAAUUGUCAUAUUAUUACGAUUUUUUUUGUGAGAUGGCUACCAAAUCAAUAACUUUAAAAAAUGGGGUAAAGGUUAAAAGGUGACACAAAUAUAGGGUACGACUGCAAAUCCCCGCAAAUGAGCCCAUCAAGAACAGGCCCAAUUCGGCUAAUGGAUCCAAUCAGCCCAAUCAAAUUAUUUUAUUUUUAAGUCCCAAAAAUCCAAACCGUAAAUAUUAUUCUAGAAACCCCAAUUCCUCUUUCACCAAAACAGACGCUCCCCUUUCACCUCUCCAUUGUCGCUUUCAAUCUCUGCCAUGGCAGAGCUCUCUCUUGGCUUUUUUCCUCCAUUUUUGGCCAAGUCUUGACCUUUAAAUCCCUACGCGCCAGAGCGUAUCUCACCAUUUCAGGUAUAACCUGAAGCUUAUCACUGAAGAAUCACGUGAAGAUUGAAUCCAUACAAAAGGCUUCAACGUUAAAAUUCAAACGGAUGCGUUUGACUUCUUUUGAAAUCUGAAUUUCAAAUUCCCGCUCAAAGGAACCAAGAACCCUAAUUUUACACCUAUAAAUACCAGACUUUGUGGCUAUUUUCAGCACCUUUUGGACCGCCCCUUCUAUCUCCCUUAACCCUCACUGUUUGGCUAACUAUUCAUAGUUUAUCUCCCUCCUUACUCUCUUAAAAUCUAGCUUUAAGUUUCUCUGCCUUUUGACCUUUAUUUAGUCUAUAGCCUUGCCAAAGCUUUCAUUUUUAUUUGUGUCGGCAUUUGACGAUCUUCCAAAAGAGUUGAGCCAAAGCCGGAGAUAGAUCUUCUUGACGACGCCCCAUUCACUGCCCACAAAAAGGUCAGCGACUUUAAAAUUUCUUCUUCUUGUUUUCUUCUGCUAGACUUGAAGUAAAUGUUUCACUUUGGUUUUAAAAAACGUGUGUUAUAGUUUAUUUUCCAUGAAGAAAGUGUGAUUUGAAGUCUGUCUGUGCAUAGAAAUCAUAUGUAGGGAUUGUGUGUAUUAUGACUUAAUUGAAUAGGAACACAAGGUGUCGACUAAGUACUUUUAUAAUGGUUAAUAAAUAAUUGUUAAUCUUAAGGCUCUUGCUUAAAACACUACUAUAUGUGCUUUUUUUGUUUCAAAUGAUAAGUUAGAGUAUUUGUUUCUUUUCCAGCAUGUAUAAAGUUAAAUUUUGUCUCUAUUCCAUAGGUCAAAACUAUGGCUUAGGUACCUUUUUCAUGUGUUCGAGAGACGGCGCUUUAAGUUUACUGUUUCUCUAGUUUAAAUAUCAUAAGAAGAAUGAUGUUAUUAAUUACCUCCAUGUCUAGUUGAAUGAUCUCAUUAUUUAGUAGAUAUUUUAAAGAACCAGCUUUAAACAGAUUUUUGUAUCUAAAGAAUCAUAAAGUUUUGCUGGUUAGAUUUUGUAUACAAGUUGAGAUCGUGCUUAUGGUUGACUUAUCUCAUAGCUUAGCUUGAAUAACGUUUUAACAAAGCGCUAGUGUAUUUAGUCCUUAACUUGUGUAUUUGACUUAUUACAUCUAGUUAAACAUAAGGAAUAUUAUCAUAAUGGUGUUUCUUUGCAAGCAGUUUGAUAUGAUAAAGUUAUAACAACUGUUACUGAGCCUGAAUUUGAAGUCAUAAUUUUUACAUACUUGCGACUAGGAUUAAGAAUGAAGGUUGGGAUUAAAUAGUUCAAAUAUCAAUUUGAUGCCUAAUGACUGUCUUUACAAAGCUAAGUUGAUGUCUAAAUAUGGCUCUAUACAUUUCUUGAAAAGUACAGUAGCUUAGUUACAGUUUCUUUGCUGUUCAUAUUGUAGAGGAUAAUAGCCAUAAUUAGAAGCUAUAUUUUUAGGAUUUUAUUUGAGAGUUUAGAUACCAUGCUCAUAGGUUUAAUGUUUAUUUCUUGGAACUGAAUAGCUUUGCAGGUUUUGAGUAUAAUUUAAGUUUUAUUUUAUAAACUAGAAGUCUCGGAUUAAGAAGUGAAUCUCCAUGAAGUUACAUGUGCAUUAUGUUAUCUGUAAUCUAUAGUUUAUUUCUUAAAAAAGCCCAAACCAUGAGUUAGAUUCUUGGUUUAUGAAUACUCCUGAUAUUCUUGCAUACCAUGUCCUCUGAAAAGUAUAUCAUAUGGCUUUGAUAAAGGAAUGACAUCUGACUCAAACGCGUUGGACUUUGUUGGGCUAAACUCUAUUUUCCUUGGUAUUUUGUUAGAUCUCAAACUUGUUUUUGCCCUUCUCGAAUAUUAAUUUAGUGUCUCAAAUGCAUGCUUAUUUAUUACGACAACAACAACAACCCAAUAUAAUCCCAUUAGUGGGGUCUGAAGAGGGUAGUGUGUACGCAAACCUUACCCUUACCCUGGAGUAAAGAGGCUAUUUCCGAUAGACCCUCGUCCCCCCUCCAAGAACUCCCCACCUUGCUCUUGGGGUGACUUGAACUCACAACCUCUUUGGUUGGAAGUGGAGGGUGCUCACCACUAGAGCAACCCACUCUUGUCAAACAUCGUUUACGUAGAUUACAUAUCUAAUCUUUUUCUCUAUUCUUUGUCUUGCAUAUGCACUUGGAGCAAAAAUGGAGUCUCACCAAUACUACCAAGCAUGGAGUCAUCACAUCCCAUAUCAUCCUCCUUAGAAUGCACCGGAUAGCAAGAAAAAGAAACAAGCGAAACGCUUGGGGGGUGUCUAUGGCAUCCUUUUCUUUUAUUUGUAUCUAAUCUUUUAAUGAUUGUUGAUCUAUUUAUCUGUUUGUUGUUUAUCUCAACUGUGGAUUUAAUCAUCUAGGUUCUCUGCUCUCUAGUAUUUAUAUAAUCUUUAGGCAUUCAAGAUCACUAAUUUAGUAACCCUUUUCAUCUAUUUACCAUUGGCAAAUAUAUUUUCUACUAAGCUUAAUACUAUACCUCUAACAUUUUUAAAAAGAAGUCAAUUUAUUAAAUGACGCUUCUGAAAACUUUCGUCAAAGCCCA
rnacentral:lncRNA from 1 species